rnacentral:rRNA from 1 species
ACAGCAGUCGCCACGGUAAUACGUAGGGCGCAAGCGUUGUCCGGAAUUAUUGGGCGUAAAGAGCUCGUAGGCGGCCUGUUGCGUCCGCUGUGAAAUCCCGGGGCUCAACCCCGGGCGUGCAGUGGAUACGCUCAGGCUAGAGGGUGGGAGAGGGUGGUGGAAUUCCCGGAGUAGCGGUGAAAUGCGCAGAUACCGGGAGGAACGCCGAUGGCGAAGGCAGCCACCUGGUCCACUUCUGACACUGAGGCGCGAAAGCGUGGGGAGCAAACCGGAUUAGAUACCCCGGUAGUCCCUGUCUCUUAUAC